GACGAACGCUGGCGGCGUGCUUAACACAUGCAAGUCGUACGGUAAGGCCCUUUCGGGGGUACACGAGUGGCGAACGGGUGAGUAACACGUGAGUAACCUGCCCACAACUUUGGGAUAACGCUAGGAAACUGGUGCUAAUACUGGAUAUGUGCUCCUGCUGCAUGGUGGGGGUUGGAAAGCUCCGGCGGUUGUGGAUGGACUCGCGACCUAUCAGCUUGUUGGUGGGGUAGUGGCCUACCAAGGCGGCGACGGGUAGCCGGCCUGAGAGGGUGACCGGCCACAUUGGGACUGAGAUACGGCCCAGACUCCUACGGGAGGCAGCAGUGGGGAAUAUUGCACAAUGGGCGCAAGCCUGAUGCAGCAACGCCGCGUGCGGGAUGACGGCCUUCGGGUUGUAAACCGCUUUCAGCAGGGACGAAGCUUUUUGUGACGGUACCUGCAGAAGAAGCACCGGCUAACUACGUG
rnacentral:rRNA from 1 species